UGGGCAACCUGCCCUCAGCUCUGGGAUAACUCCAAGAAAUUGGGGCUAAUACCGGAUAUGACUGCUGACCGCAUGAUCGGAGGUGGAAAGCUCCGGCGGAGAAGGAUGAGCUCGCGGCCUAUCAGCUAGUUGGUGUGGGUAAUGGCCCACAAGGCGAGACGGGUAGCCGGCCUGAGAGGGUGACCGGCCACACUGUGACUGAGACACGGCCCAGACCUNUACGGGAG
rnacentral:rRNA from 1 species